ensembl:rRNA 5S_rRNA 5S ribosomal RNA
GCCAGCAGCCAUGUCACCCUGCAACUUGCAACUGGUUACUCACUGAAGCUCAGCAGGUGUGAGCCUGGUCAGUACCUGGAUGGGAGACCUCCUGGGAAAAACUGAGGGUGCUGCUGGAA